GUUAAAAAGCUCGUAGUUGGAUUUCUGGCAGGGUGCCUGUGCCCUAAGCUUAGUGUGCACAAAUGCCUUUCCAUCCUUCUGUUAACCUUGGAGGCUUUUACGGCUUCCCUGGGGCUCAGAUAUUUUACCUUGAGAAAAUUAGAGUGUUUCAGGCAGGCUAGCGCCGGAAUACAUUAGCAUGGAAUAAUAGAAUAGGACAUUUGCCUCUUCUGUUGGUCAUGGGGUUUAUGUAAUGAUUAAUAGGGAUAGUUGGGGGCAUUAGUACUUCACUGUCAGAGGUGAAAUUCUCGGAUUUGUGAAAGACUAACUUAUGCGAAAGCAUUUGCCAAGGAUGUUUUCAUUAAUCAAGAACGAAAGUUAGGGGAUCAAAGACGAUCAGAUACCGUCCUAGUCUUAACCAUAAACUAUGCCGACUCGGGAUCGGGGGCGAGAAUUAUCCG
rnacentral:rRNA from 1 species